UACGAAGGGGGCUAGCGUUGCUCGGAAUCACUGGGCGUAAAGGGUGCGUAGGCGGGUCUUUAAGUCAGGGGUGAAAUCCUGGAGCUCAACUCCAGAACUGCCUUUGAUACUGAGAAGCUUGAGUCCGGGAGAGGUGAGUGGAACUGCGAGUGUAGAGGUGAAAUUCGUAGAUAUUCGCAAGAACACCAGUGGCGAAGGCGGCUCACUGGCCCGGUAUUGACGCUGAGGUGCGAAAGCGUGGGGAGCGAACAGG
rnacentral:rRNA from 1 species